UGCGGGGUAGAGCAGAGGCAGCUCGUCGGGCUCAUAACCCGGAGGUCCCAGGUUCGAAUCCUGGCCCCGCUA
rnacentral:tRNA from 3 species